rnacentral:rRNA from 1 species
CCUACGGGUGGCAGCAGUGGGGAAUAUUGCACAAUGGGGGAAACCCUGAUGCAGCGACGCCGCGUGGGUGAAGAAGUAUUUCGGUAUGUAAAGCUCUAUCAGCAGGGAAGAAAAUAAACGGUACCUGACUAAAAGGCCCCGGCUAACUACGUGCCGGCAGCCGCGGUAAUAGGUAGGGGGCAGGCGUUAUCCGGUUUUACUGGGUGUAAAGGGAGCGUAGACGGCUGUGCAGGUCUGAAGUGAAAGCCCAGGGCCCAACCCCGGGACUGCUUUGGAAAGUGUGGUGCUGGAGUGCUGGAGAGGUAAGCGGAAUUCCUAGUGUAGCGGUGAAAUGCGUAGAUAUUAGGAGGAACACCAGUGGCGAAGGCGGCUUACUGGACAGUAACUGACGUUGAGGCUCGAAAGCGUGGGGAGCAAACAGGAUUAGAUACCCUUGUAGUC